AAUAUCACCAGCCACCCAGGCCAUCACUUGGCCAGACGCAUUACGAAAAGAAUACCAACGGUCAUUAAUCAACAUACUUGCAAAUUUAUGACUAGAGUUAUCUUACUUGACUCGACUUCAAAAUCUGUCACAUCAAAAAGUAACGACUUACUGAUUAAAAUAUAGGGUUGUUGCCACAUUGAGUCAAUAGUUUAGUCAUCUUGACGUGCACAGACGUAGAGAAAGUUCAUAUCACUAAGCAAGAGAAAAGGGAAAGAAAUAAGAAAGUAAACAAAAAAAAAUUAUAUUAUAAAAUUUAUAAUUAAUUUGAUUGAAAUAUGACUAUUUUACUGUAUAAAAGACUAAGAAAGUAAACAAAAAAAAAUAAAACAAAAAGUAUUAAAUUUAGUUAUCAGCGAUUCGUAUUAGAUGACUCAAGUCCACAUUACUAUAUAGAUAUCUGGGUGCAUAAUCUCAUAUCCAUAUUAGUGCAUGUAUCUGAAUUCAUAAUAUAAUUUACUGGCGUUGUGAAUACGCAGGAAUAAUCGAUUGGGUUAUACUUGAAAAUUAUUAAAAAAAUAAUCACAUUGAAUUGAUUUUUGCUUGCUUGUUAUCGGCAACAACGUAUGCAGCAGGAAAUUCACCAAUUACUUGGUAUUUUCUUCUCCAGUUCUUCCGUAGUCUGCAUGCAAGGAUUAAAACAAGUUCCAAGGCCCUCGAGACUCGUAUGUCUUCGCUAGAAGAGUGAAUGAAAACUGAUCAGAAAUGGGUUUAGAAAGGAGAAAGACAGAUUAACAAAGAAAAUAAAUCCCAAUGAAAGCAGGGACGUUAUUAGUAAUUCUUUUUUACUUUCAUAAAUUACCCGUGAAUAGAUGAGGAAAGUUUAACGACUCCUUACUUGCAGGAAACUACGGGGUAAUUGCAUGCUUUAAAAGAGAAGCUACAGUGAACUUUCUGCAUGAUCGCUGUUUCCUUCCUCUUUAUAUAGAGUCUCUUGAACCCUAUUUCUUCAAUAAUUCAUU
rnacentral:lncRNA from 1 species